UCUCUCUCUCUCUCUCUCUCUCUCUCUCUCUCUCUCUCUCUCUUCUCCGAGAUUUCCGUCUCCAAAGAAGGAGAAAGCUCCUCCUCCAUCUUCGGUUCUCGUCUUCAUCGGAUCUCUCUCUAUCUCUCUCUCCGAUCAUUAGAUCCUUGAAAUACAGUUUUGGAUGCUUCCUAGUACAUGCCUGACGAGCAGCAAAAUCCACUUCAAGAAUAUCAGGGAAACUUCCCAAGGAGGGAUUUGGGCUCAUUGCAAGAAAAGGGCCUACAUCACACAUAGUGGAUACAUGAUCAUGGCCAGUGAGGUUGGUGUUGUAGACAUCUGCCAAAAGAUGUGGCUAGGAAAGGAAGACAUAUGAUCGGUCCAGAAGGGGACCUUACUGAAAUAGUUCAUGUGGAAG